CUAAAAACCUAGCCCAACAAACAUGAAUUUUACUAAAUUAACUAAACCCUCUUAACAAACCAUUUUAACAUUCUAGUAAAGGAGAUUGAAAAAACUUAUUUGGAGCUAUAAAAACAGUACCGCAAGGGAACGGUGAAAUAUUAUGAAAAACUUCAAGCAGCAAAAAGUAAAGAUUACCUCUUGUACCUUUCGCAUCAUGGUUUAACUAGUCUAACCAAGCAAAACGUAUUUAAGUUUGACUUCCCGAAACUAAGUGAGCUACUUCAGGGCAGCUAGAAGAGCAAACCCGUCUCUGUAGCAAAAGAGUGGGACGACCCUCAAGUAGUGGUGACAGACCUAACGAACUUAGUGAUAGCUGGUUGCUCAAGAAACGGAUUUAAGUCCAACCUGAAAGUUUUAUAACCUAAGUUCAUCAAAACAAUCACCUAGCUUUCAGCGUAAUUCAAAUAAGGUACAGCCUAUUUGAAACAGGAUACAACCUAGCCCUAAUGGAUAAGAUCAGCCUAACAUACAAUCAAGUGGGC
rnacentral:rRNA from 1 species